CGGGGAUUAGUGGCGAACGGGUGAGUAACACGUGAGUAACCUGCCCUUAACUCUGGGAUAAGCCUGGGAAACUGGGUCUAAUACCGGAUAUGACUCCUCAUCGCAUGGUGGGGGGUGGAAAGCUUUAUUGUGGUUUUGGAUGGACUCGCGGCCUAUCAGCUUGUUGGUGAGGUAAUGGCUUACCAAGGCGACGACGGGUAGCCGGCCUGAGAGGGUGACCGGCCACACUGGGACUGAGACACGGCCCAGACUCCUACGGGAGGCAGCAGUGGGGAAUAUUGCACAAUGGGCGGAAGCCUGAUGCAGCGACGCCGCGUGAGGGAUGACGGCCUUCGGGUUGUAAACCUCUUUCAGUAGGGAAGAAGCGAAAGUGACGGUACCUGCAGAAGAAGCGCCGGCUAACUACGUGCCAGCAGCCGCGGUAAUACGUAGGGCGCAAGCGUUAUCCGGAAUUAUUGGGCGUAAAGAGCUCGUAGGCGGUUUGUCGCGUCUGCCGUGAAAGUCCGGGGCUCAACUCCGGAUCUGCGGUGGGUACGGGCAGACUAGAGUGAUGUAGGGGAGACUGGAAUUCCUGGUGUAGCGGUGAAAUGCGCAGAUAUCAGGAGGAACACCGAUGGCGAAGGCAGGUCUC
rnacentral:rRNA from 1 species